rnacentral:rRNA from 1 species
UACAGAGGUCUCAAGCGUUGUUCGGAUUUAUUGGGCGUAAAGGGUGCGCAGGCUGUAUGGUAAGUUUUGGUGUGAAAUCCUGGAGCUUAACUCCAGAAUUGCACUGAAUACUGCCGUGCUAGAGGACUGGAGAGGAGAUUGGAAUUCACGGUGUAGCAGUGAAAUGCGUAGAUAUCGUGAGGAAGACCAGUGGCGAAGGCGAAUCUCUGGACAGUUCCUGACGCUCAUGCACGAAGGCCAGGGG